GCGCGGGCAAUCGAGGCGAGCCGGUGGCGGCGCGGCACGGCACGCUACGGGCGACGGCCGGCGCGGCGCGGUGCGGCCUCACUGGCGUCUCGGUGCAUCUCCACCACCGACCUUCCUCCUUCUCGCCGGUGCUCAUGGCCAAGGUUUGAAGGAGUGAGAAACAAGUUGAAGUUAUGAUCAUCAUCAUCUCUACUUAGGACUAAAUUAUAUGUAGUACUCCCUCUGUUUUUCUUUUCUUGACGUUAAGACAUCAUCCCUUAGUUCAUUUUUAGUUCAUUUCAAAUGUCUGAUAACAUUUUAUGACCGGAGGGAGUAAUUUGUACUGUACUUUGUUUGGGAGCCCAGAAAUGGUUUAGAAUUCUGGUUUCGAUACAAAACCAUUCGGCUAUUGUAUAUUAUUCUGGUUCUGGGAGUCCAGAAAUGCAUAUUAUUUUAUUCUAUUGUUUGAAAUGUAAUUAGGCUAUUACAUAUUGUUAGCCUAUUGAUUUUA